AACGAACGCUGGCGGCAGGCUUAACACAUGCAAGUCGAUCGCCCCGCCAUGGGAGUGGCAGACGGGUGAGUAACGCGUUUUCACAUACCCUGUGUUGCGGAAUAGCUCUGGGAAACUGGAAUUAAUACCGCAUCCUCCAUACGGGGGAAAGAUUUAUCGGGGAAGGAUUGGCCCGCGUUGGAUUAGCUAGUUGGUGGGGUAAAGGCCUACCAAGGCGACGAUCCAUAGCUGGUCUGAGAGGAGGAUCAGCCACAUUGGGACUGAGACACGGCCCAAACUCCUACGGGAGGCAGCAGUGGCGAAGAUUGGACAAUGGGCGCAAGCCUGAUCCAGCCAUGCCGCGUGAGUGCAGAAGGCCUUAGGGUUGUAAAGCGAGGGAACCGAUGAAGAUAAUGACGGUAGUCGGAGAAGAAGCCCCGGCUAACUUCGUGCCAGCCGCCGCCGUAAGAC
rnacentral:rRNA from 1 species